rnacentral:misc_RNA from 1 species
GAUGAAGAACGCAGCGAAAUGCGAUAAGUAAUGUGAAUUGCAGAAUUCCGUGAAUCAUCGAAUCUUUGAACGCACAUUGCGCCCCUUGGUAUUCCAUGGGGCAUGCCUGUUCGAGCGUCAUUUGUACCUUCAAGCUCUGCUUGGUGUUGGGUGUUUGUCUCGCCUUGCGCGUAGACUCGCCUUAAAACAAUUGGCAGCCGGCGUAUUGAUUUCGGAGCGCAGUACAUCUCGCGCUUUGCACUCAUAACGACGACGUCCAAAAGUACUUUUUACACUCUUGACCUCGGAUCAGGUAGGGAUACCCGCUGAACUUAAGCAUAUCAAUAAGCGGAGGA